CUUUCUUUGCUGGCGACCAGCGCACGGGUGAGUAACACGUAUCCAACCUGCCCUUUACUCGGGGAUAGCCUUUCGAAAGAAAGAUUAAUACCCGAUAGCAUAAUGAUUCCGCAUGGUUUCAUUAUUAAAGGAUUCCGGUAAAGGAUGGGGAUGCGUUCCAUUAGGUUGUUGGUGAGGUAACGGCCCACCAAGCCUUCGAUGGAUAGGGGUUCUGAGAGGAAGGUCCCCCACAUUGGAACUGAGACACGGUCCAA
rnacentral:rRNA from 1 species